GCACCGGGACCGCAUAGUAUGAAGUUUUAAUUAAACUUUGAUAAUAAUUGUGGUUUGCUAAAAUCAGACUGGUUAACACAGUGGAAAGCUAUUGUUCUUUCAAACAUAGUUCCCAAGUGCUUGGUUGGUGAAAAAUAAAUCAGCUUUUAUAUGCCAACCUCUACAUAAGCAUAAAAUGGCUACAAAUGAUGAACACGUGAUACAAUACAAAGGCGAUCAUGAAGGACGUGUACUUACAAAGUUAAACAGGUUACGUAAAAGAAAAGUGUUUACUGAUGUCACGUUCAAAUUAGAUGAUGGAGAAGUUUCAGCUCAGAAAAGUAUUCUUGCUGGAUAUUCUGAUUAUUAUGAGAAAAUGUUCACAUCUGGGGUAAUGUACCAAUUGAUAUUUAUUGUGACAAUUCCCUUCAUAAAUGUUAAUCUGUUAAAGUAGAUUCUGUU